GGUAGGUCUCAUCCCACUGAAAUAUAAUGUCUUAGGGUCUCUGCAUCAUGGCUAGUAGCAGGGCCAUCCUGGGACAGUUUCAGCAUCUUGAAAUUUCUGGGGCAAAAGGGUGCCUUGGUUCUGACCCCUCUAUGUGCAAUGUUCUCUGCAUGGAGCAAGAAUGGAGAGGCAAAGGUGAUGCCAGGGCUCAUGAUAUCCCAUACUGCUGGUGUGACUGGGUGACACUGUUGAGCCAGGGUGGAGCUGUCGGCUUACAGCAGAGUGCUGCAAGCACUUCUUCAUACCGUAAGUACUUAGUUUUUCAUCCCAGAUUUCUUAUUGUGCAUGAAUCAUUUAUCAAUGAUUUGGCCUUGUACUGCUGAAAAAACAAAGGUCCUCAUUUUCACCAGGGCAGCAUGCCUAUUAACAGUAGUACUGCUAUCAUAGACUCAAGUUAGGUUUGUAUGACAAGCUGUCCUCUUAAGUGUUCAGGUGAUGGAAAGUUUAGUAGAUUCAGGAAGACCCCAGCAAAAAACCCUCCUUCCUUGUUUCUCGAUGUAUACUCAGGAAGUAAAUGGGACACAGAUUUGGUAAGAGAACGAAUGUUACAGCCACCUGGCUUCUUUGGUGAGUCCACCUCCAUUCUCAGCAGUCCAGGUUAGUGCUGUUUGCUCCCCUGUAGACCCCCUCUGAAUUUCACCCUAGCAUCAGUCCUAUGAACAUAAAUAGAUUAUCUGCCUCUCUCUCAUUUCAUUUAACACCAGGUUUGUGCAAAUGGAAACUGAUGACUCACAAGGAUUGUUCUGGGACUGGCUCAUUAGGCUCUGGAGGAGAUAUCACAGUGGCUUUUCCAGAGAGGGCAAAUGUGGUUCACUGAGUUAACACACUGUACUAACUGAGAGGAGAUCAUUCAUUUCUGAGAAGAGCACCAGGUUCACAUGGGGGUGGCCGACAAGAGUUUAUUUGAGACCAGACUGUUCUGGCACUUCUGUCCAGUCCACCACGUCUGACAGUAUAGUCCAAGGGAGGUGUGUGGUGAGACCCUGGUGAGAAGUGCAGCCCAUCAGCCCCCAAAGUACUUGUCUGUCAGCGAUUGACAGUAGGAAUGCAGAAGAAAACCAGGCAGAAAUAAUUCUGAAGAUGCUGGCAGGAACCGCGGCACCUUCGCACCGUGAAAAGGCACAGCAUCAGUACUGCUUCAAGGUGCUGUUCCUGUGGCAGCAGAAGAGAUGAAGCCAGGGAGCCAGGACUCCUUCCACACCAUCCUUCUUGCCACAUCUUUCCUCACCUGGUGCCCCAAGAGGUGCAAGCAGAGCGAGAGGCUGCCCGUGAACUGAGUUGCCUCGCUUUCCACUCUGACGUGAGCAUCUUCGCAGGAGCUGCCCCCCGAGCAAAGCUCAAAGGAGGGGGAUGAGCGGUAGCAUAGCCUUGUGACUGGUGCAAAUGAGUCCUGCUGAUCCCAGGUGUUUAAAAAUUGCAGGACCCAGCAGAAUAAUGUAAUUAGCCAGAAAAAAUAU